rnacentral:lncRNA from 1 species
AGUCCGAUAGGGUGGAGACAAGGACUUUCUUUUUCUUGUACUUGCUCCCCUUCUUCAGCAAAGGACAUUCAGCUCUGAAGUGCCCCGGCUUUUUACACUCAUAACAUCCAAUCCCCUCAUUUUCUCUUUCCUUACCUUUAUCCUUGUGAUAGAAAUUUGAGGGGCCUCUCCUUUGAUGAGAGGACUUCUUCCGGUUGAUGAAUCUUCGGAAUUUUCUUACAAGGAGU